rnacentral:rRNA from 1 species
GACGAACGCUGGCGGCGUGCCUAAUACAUGCAAGUCGAACGCAUUUUCUUUCACCGUAGCUUGCUACACCGACAGAAAAUGAGUGGCGAACGGGUGAGUAACACGUGGGUAACCUGCCCAUCAGUGGGGGAUAACACUUGGAAACAGGUGCUAAUACCGCAUAAUUCCAUUUACCGCAUGGUAGAUGGGUGAAAGGCGCUUUUGCGUCACUGAUGGAUGGACCCGCGGUGCAUUAGCUAGUUGGUGGGGUAACGGCCUACCAAGGCUGCGAUGCAUAGCCGACCUGAGAGGGUGAUCGGCCACACUGGGACUGAGACACGGCCCAGACUCCUACGGGAGGCAGCAGUAGGGAAUCUUCGGCAAUGGACGCAAGUCUGACCGAGCAACGCCGCGUGAGUGAAGAAGGUUUUCGGAUCGUAAAACUCUGUUGUUAGAGAAGAACAAGGAUGAGAGUGGAAAGUUCAUCCCUUGACGGUAUCUAACCAGAAAGCCACGGCUAACUACGUG